rnacentral:rRNA from 1 species
GCUUACAGCCAUACCACCCUGAGCACGCCCGACCUUGUCUGAUCUCAGAAGUUAAGCAGGGCUGGGCUUGGUUAGUACUUGGAUGGGAAAUGAAACAGAUAGGACAGCAAAAGUCGCAACAAGGA